rnacentral:rRNA from 1 species
GAUGAACGCUGGCGGCGUGCCUAAUACAUGCAAGUCGAGCGAACAGACGAGGAGCUUACUCCUCUGACGUUAGCGGCGGACGGUUGAGUAACAAGUGGAUAACCUCCCUAUAAUACUGGGCUUACUUCAUGAAACCGGAGCUAAUACCGGGUAAUAUAUUGCACCUCAUGGUUCAAUAAUGAAAGACGUUUUUGCUAUCACUUAUAGAUGCAACCGAGCCCCAUUAUCUAGUUGGGAAGGUAACGGCUUAAGAACGUACCAAUGCGUAGACGAUCUGAGAGGGUGAUCGGGUACACUGGAAGUGAGAGACGGUCCAGACUCCUACGGGAGGAAGCAGUAGGGAAUCUUCCGCGAGGGGGGAGAGCUGGACGGAGCAAAGCCGCGUGAGUGAUGAAGGUGCUCGGAUCGUAGAACGAUGUUAGUAGGGAAGAACAAAUGUGUAAGUAAAUAGGAACGUCUUGACGGUACCUAAAGAGAAAGCCACGGCUAACUACGUG